rnacentral:rRNA from 1 species
CUCUCCCAUAUGGUCGACCUGCAGGCGGCCGCGAAUUCACUAGUGAUUGUCGAAUGCGAGCUUGCUCGCAUGGCAAACGGGAGAGUAACACGUUGGUAAUCUACCUCUAUCUUAGGCAUAACCCGGAGAAAUCUGGAGUAAUACCUGAUAGUCAUGGGGGGACAUAAGUCAUUCCCAUGUAAAGAUCCGUCGGAUAGAGAGGAGCCUACGGCACAUCAGCUUGUUGGUAGGGUAAUGGCCUACCAAGGCUACGACGUGUAACGGGUGUGAGAGCAUGACCCGUCCCACUGGAACUGAGAUACUGUCCAGACUCCCACGGGAGGCUGCAGUCAAGAAUCUUCCUCAAUGGACGAAAGUCUGAAGGAGCAAUGCCGCGUGAUCGAUGAAGCUUUUCGGAGUGUAAAGAUCUUUUAUCAGGGACGAA